AUGGCUGUUCACCUUUUCGGUGCGACUUCUUCUCCAAGUUGUGCAAAUUUUGCACUCCGAAGAACAGCAGAGGAGAACCGUAGCAAGUCGUCACAUGAGGCUGUGGACACAGUUCUGAAGAAUUUUUAUGUAGACGACUGUUUGAAAUCAGUUGCAGAUGAAGCUCAAACAGUCGAAUUGUGCAAAGAUCUCACAGCCCUAUGUGCAAGUGGAGGAUUUCACCUGACAAAAUGGACAAGUAACAGCCGGGCCUUACUUGCCUCUGUUCCUGACUGUGAGAGAGCCAAGGAUGUCAGAGACUUGGACUUAUCUCAUGAUGUGCUACCAACGGAAAGAGCAUUGGGUGUGCUAUGGUGCACAGAAUCAGACUCAUUCAAGUUCAAGUUCAAGAUCAAUGUCAAAAACAAGCCUAUCACAAGACGAGGAAUUCUCUCAGUCACAAGCUCAAUCUAUGAUCCGCUGGGAUUUCUUGCCCCUGCAAUUCUUCCCGCAAAGACGCUCAUGCAACAACUGUGCAAAGAAGGUCUUGCUUGGGAUGAUGAGAUUCCAGAUCAGUUGAGUAGGAAGUGGAAUGCUUGGCUUCAAGAGCUACACCAGUUGUCAGCUGUAACCAUACCCAGAUGUGUGAGACCAUCAGAGUUUGGACCUGUUGAAACUGCACAGCUCCACCACUUUUCUGAUGGAAGUGAAAGUGGAUACGGAACUGUCUCUUACCUGAGAUUGAAAACUAGGGAUGGAAGUGUUCACUGUGCUGUCAUGAUGGGAAGAUCACGGGUGGCACCACUGAAGCAGACCACUAUUCCACAAAUGGAACUGACUGCAGCAGUGGUUGCUGUGAACACAGACAAGAUGUUGAGGAAAGAGCUUCAAAUGGAUCUCAUUAACUCGACAUUCUGGACCGACAGCACGACUGUGUUGAAAUACAUAGAGAAUGAAAAGCUUCGCUUCAAAACCUUCGUUGCUAAUCGCAUUGCUGUCAUCAGAGAGUCGACUAAGCUUGAGCAAUGGAAAUAUGUCAAUACUUCAAUUAAUCCCGCUGAUUGUGCUUCCAGAGGGCUUAUGCCGACCAAGUUCAUGAAGAAUUUGAGCUGGUUUCAUGGUCCAGCAUUUCUCAAAAAAACAGAAUUUCAAUGGCCAGGCAGACUUGAUGAUACAAGGGUUAAUGAAGACAAUGACAAUGAAGUGAGACACACAGCCACAGUUAACCUCACAGACGCAUCUGAAGAUGUACAUGCUGUGAACAAACUGUUGAACCACUACUCCAGCUGGUACCGGGUGAAAAGAGCUGUGGCGUGGGUUCUCAAACUCAAAGAUCUCCUUCUACAACGUUGCAGGAGAGAGACUCACAGACAAGUCACAAGUGUAAACAAACAAUAG
rnacentral:lncRNA from 1 species